GAUUCUGCCCUGCGGGGAAGGAUGAGAAGCUUCGACUAAGGUUCGACUCGAGCGCCAGCGAGAGAACGUUGCCGCAGGCAACGGCCCGAAGGGCGAGGAGCGAUAGCGACGAGUUAUCCUUCCCCCACCACCA
rnacentral:sRNA from 1 species